CCAUUUUCAAAUUUCAGACAGACAUCACCUUUACCCAAGAUAUCACAACUCUGACCAUCAGCCAAAGAAACAUGCCCAGACUUGACCAACUGAAGGUUUUGAAACAUAUGCUCAAAAGGGGUCACAUGAAAGGUACAACCAGAGUCAAUCAGCCACUCAUUUGAACUUACAGAUUUAGACACAGCAUUUGAGUAAUUUAUAAACUGAAAAUCAUAGUCAUGUACCAUAUAGACACCAUCUUCUUCAA
rnacentral:lncRNA from 1 species